GGAUGCGAUCAUACCAGCACUAAUGCACCGGAUCCCAUCAGAACUCCGCAGUUAAGCGUGCUUGGGCGAGAGUAGUACUAGGAUAGGUGACCCCCUGGGAAGUCCUCGUGUUGCAACCC
rnacentral:rRNA from 1 species